rnacentral:lncRNA from 1 species
UCUUACACAAGUUGAAUUUUAUCUUGUAUAGAUAUUUGAAAUCCCAUGCAAGAGAAUAAUACAAAGGGAAACAUUUUUCAAAAGGUUGCUUCUAAAAGUUUCUAAGAAUCUAAAAGAUAAUAUCAAGAAGCACUUUUUCCCAAAUGAACUCAAAGUAUGUGCUAACACACAUCUCAAGAGGAAGAUUUAAUGAUCACCAAGAGUGCUCCCAAAGAUAAAAUCAAAGAAGCAUUUCUUCCCAAAUGAACUCAAAUUAUGUGCCAACACAUAUCUCAAGAGGAUGAUCGAUCCAAUGGUCAUCAAGAGUGCUCCCAAGAUAAGAUCAAGAUGCACCUCUUUCAAAAUAACCUCAAACUAUGUGCCAACACACAUCUCAAGAGGAAGAUCUAGUGGUCAUCAAAGAUACUCUAUGCUAUAAAUAGACACCAUAGGGAAACACUUAAAGGUAACACACCACUCUUCAUUCUUGCCAAAAAUUGCCCAAUCAUCCAAGAGAGCUCUAGCCUUGAAGUCUUCAAGUGUUCAAGGUUUCCAAGGUGUUCUCCAAAGCAAGUGUUCAUCUUCUUGCUUCCAACUCUCAUACUUCCAUCGGAAUGUUGCCAUUCAAAGCCCUAUAUGGAAGGGAAGCACCGGCAUUUACAUCUUUUGUUGGAAGUUCGUCUGUUGUCGAGGCUGUCCAAGAUCGAUGAUCUACAAAGAAGAUCAUUAAAUAUAAAAUCAGUUAAAGAAAAUAUGGAAAAAGCACAAUACUAUAUAAAAGAAGUAGCGGAUAAGAAAAGAGUGGAAGUCGAGAGCUUGUUGUUGGGGAAUGGGUUAUGGUCACUGUGAGCGUCUACACCCAAAAAUAUUGUCGUCGCGAUAUUUUGGGUCUUUUCAAGUGUUAAAAAUAAUUAACAGGGUGUCAUAUGAAAUCGAUUUACCCGAGACUAGCAAAAUUCAUAAAGUAUUUCACAUAUCAAGAUUAAAAAACACAAAGGGGAAAAUCCAGAUCAACAAGCACAAGCGUUACCUGAACUAUUGUGGAAGAACUAGAUUUUCACAGUCCCGAUGGCCAUAUUGGGAGCUAGUAGAACUACUCGUUCAGUGUGAGGGAGUUUUCACCUGAAGAGGCGUCGUGGGAGGUAAUGUUGGACCUGUCCAGAGCGUUUCCGUCACUCAACCUUGAGGGCAAGGUUGGUCUGAACGGUAGUGGUGACGAUAGAUACACAUGUCAAAGGAAAGUAGUAUUACAUGAUAUGCAAGAGAGACUGAAUAAUGAAGAUAGAAGAGAGGAAGAAGCAACGAAGGACAUACCUAGAUAGGAAGAGCAGAUCUGGGAGGAGGCAUCGGUGGAAGCUGAUGGAGAAGAGGAAGAACGUUACCAACCUUGAUCAUGUCUAUUACAUCGAAUUUACGUCGUACAUGUGUUAGUGACUUGUGCAAUACAUUAUUUUACAUCGUACAUGUGUUAAUGUCUUAUGCA